AAGUCGUAACAAGGUUUCCGUAGGUGAACCUGCGGAAGGAUCAUUCACAAUAAGUGUUCAAUGGCACUUUAAAAUCCAUUACCCACCUUGUGUGCAAUGUAAGGAAGAGAGCCUCUUGGGGCCCUCUUUCAUUAUACAUACCAAAUCUUCACUUGUUGUCUACUUUUUGAGUAAUAAAAAACUCGAAUACAACUUUCAACAACGGAUCUCUUGGCUCUC
rnacentral:misc_RNA from 1 species